rnacentral:rRNA from 1 species
AGUAAUUCUAUACAAAUAUAGAAGAUUUUAUGUUAAAACUAGUAACAAGAAGAAGAACUUCUCUUACAAUGCAAGUGUAAAUCAGACAGGACACCCCGCUGAUAGUUAACAUCAAUGAAUGCAGAAUAGCAACCCAACAAGAAAACUCUAUUGUAUUAUAUGUUAAUCUUACACCAGAGCAUUUCAAGAAAGAUUAAAAGAAAAAGAAGGAACUCGGCAAAUAUUAACCUCGCCUGUUUACCAAAAACAUCGCCUCUUGAAUAAAUAUAAGAGGUCCAGCCUGCCCAGUGACUUUGUUCAACGGCCGCGGUAUCCUAACCGUGCGAAGGUAGCGUAAUCACUUGUUCUUUAAAUAAGGACUAGUAUGAAUGGCACCACGAAGGUUACACUGUCUCCUCUCUCUAAUCAGUGAAACUAAUCUCCCCGUGAAGAAGCGGGGAUAAAAAUAUAAGACGAGAAGACCCUAUGGAGCUUCAAACUAAAAGGCACUUGCCCACACAUUAAACCAAAUUUCAGAAAAUCAAUGGCACCCAGGCAAUAUGACCCUUAGUUUUAGGUUGGGGUGACCGCGGAGCAAAAAUUAACCUCCACAUUGAAAGGAGCCCACUCCUUAGCCUAGAGCCACACCUCCAAGCACCAAUAAAAAGACAUUAAUUGACCCAAUAUUUUGAUCAACGAACCAAGUUACCCUAGGGAUAACAGCGCAAUCCACUUCAAGAGCUCCUAUCGACAAGUGGGUUUACGACCUCGAUGUUGGAUCAGGG